UAGAUUCAAUUGCAAUAACUAGUUCACUAAGAUAGAAAUGACCAGAUUGUGAUCAUGGCCCCUGCGGAAGGAUGACACACACAAAUCGAGAAAUGGUCUAAAUUUUU